ACACGUAGGGGCCUGACGUUGUUCGGAAUCAUUGGGCGUAAAGGGCGCGCAGGCGGCCGUCCAAGUCCGGUGUUAAAUGUUCGGGCUCAACCCGAUCAUGCGCUGGAAACUGGGCGGCUUGAGUCCCGUAGGGGAUGCCGGAAUUCCAGGUGUAGGGGUGAAAUCUGUAGAUAUCUGGAAGAACACCAAUGGCGAAGGCAGGCAUCUGGCCAUGUACUGACGCUGAGACGCGAAGGUGCGGGGAGCAAACAGGUUUAGAUACCCUGGUAGUCCGCACAGUAAACGAUGUGCACCAGGUGGCGGGGGGUCGACCCCCGGUACCGUAGCUAACGCAUUAAGUGCACCGCCUGGGGAGUAUGCUCGCAAGGGUGAAACUCAAAGGAAUUGACGGG
rnacentral:rRNA from 1 species